rnacentral:rRNA from 1 species
CCACGCUGUAAACGAUGAAUGCUAGGUGUCGGGGGUCAAACCUCGGUGCCGAAGUUAACACAUUAAGCAUUCCGCCUGGGGAGUACGGUGGCAACACUGAAACUCAAAGGAAUUGACGGGGACCCGCACAAGCAGCGGAGCAUGUGGUUUAAUUCGAUGCAACGCGAAGAACCUUACCAGGGCUUGACAUAUGGGUGAAAGACGUAGAGAUACGUCCCCUCUUCGGAGCAGCCAUACAGGUGGUGCAUGGUUGU